AAUUUUGGACAAUGGGCGAAAGCCUGAUCCAGCAAUGCCGCGUGCAGGAUGAAGGNCUNNGGGUUNUNAACUGCUUUUGUACGNNNNNAAAAGCUUUGGGUUAAUAUCCUGGAGUCAUGACGGUACCGUAAGAAUAAGCACCGGCUAACUACGUGCCAUCAGCCGCGGUAAUACGUAGGGUGCAAGCGUUAAUCGGAAUUACUGGGCGUAAAGCGUGCGCAGGCGGUUUUGUAAGACAGAGGUGAGAUCCCCGGGCUCAACCUGGGAACUGCCUUUGUGACUGCAAGGCUAGAGUACGGCAGAGGGGGGUGGAAUUCCGCGUGUAGCAGUGAAAUGCGUAGAUAUGCGGAGGAACACCGAUGGCGAAGGCAACCCCCUGGGCCUGUACUGACGCUCAUGCACGAAAGCGUGGGGAGCAAACAGG
rnacentral:rRNA from 1 species